rnacentral:tRNA from 1 species
UGUUUAAGUAGCUUAAUUUAUAUAAAGCAUAGUACUGAAAAUACUAAGAUUGGUACCUUUACCCUUAAAUAU